rnacentral:rRNA from 1 species
UAACGCGUGAGAAUCUACCUUCUAGAUGGGGACAACCGUUGGAAACGACAGCUAAUCCCCAAUAAGCCGAGAGGUGAAACGGGUAUCCGCUAGAAGAGGAGCUCGCGUCCGAUUAGUUAGUUGGUGGGGUAAGAGCCUACCAAGGCAGCGAUCGGUAGCUGGUCUGAGAGGAUGAGCAGCCACACUGGGACUGAGACACGGCCCAGACUCCUACGGGAGGCAGCAGUGGGGAAUUUUCCGCAAUGGGCGAAAGCCUGACGGAGCAACGCCGCGUGUGGGAAGAAGGCUCUUGGGCUGUCAACCACUUUUCUCAGGGAAGAAGACCUGACGGUACCUGAGGAAUCAGCCUCGGCUAACUCCGUGCCAGCAGCCGCGGUAAUACGGAGGAGGCAAGCGUUAUCCGGAAUUAUUGGGCGUAAAGCGUCCGCAGGGGGCGCAUCAAGUCUGCUGUUAAAGGUCGGAGCUAAACUCCGGUAGAGCAGUGGAAACUGGUGCGCUAGAGGGCGACAGGGGUAGAGGGAAUUCCCAGUGUAGCGGUGAAAUGCGUAGAGAUUGGGAAGAACACCGGUGGCGAAAGCGCUCUACUGGGUCGCACCUGACCCUCAGGGACGAAAGCUAAGGUAGCGAAAGGGAUUAGAUACCCCUGUAGUCUUAGCCGUAAACGAUGGAUACUAGGCGUGGUUUGUAUCGACCCAAGCCGUGCCGAAGCUAACGCGCUUAGUAUCCCGCCUGGGGAGUACGCACGCAAGUGUGAAACUCAAAGGAAUUGACGGGGGCCCGCACAAGCGGUG